GGGAUCCUUCGGGAACCUGAGUAAAGUGGCGAACGGGUGAGUAGCACGUGGGUGACCUGCCCUCUGGAGGGGGAUAACCCGAGGAAACUCGGGCUAAGACCGCAUAAGCCUUUGACGUCAAACUCAAAGGGAAAAGGAUUUAGCUUUCGAGUUAGAUCCUACCGGAGGAGGGGCCCGCGUCCCAUUAGCUAGUUGGUGGGGUAAAAGCCUACCAAGGCUACGAUGGGUAGCCGGUCUGAGAGGACGGACGGCCACACUGGAACUGAGACACGGUCCAGACUCCUACGGGAGGCAGCAGUGGGGAAUUUUGGGCAAUGGGCGAAAGCCUGACCCAGCAACGCCGCGUGGAGGAUGAAGGCCCUCGGGUCGUAAACUCCUGUCCUAGGGGAAGAAAAAAAUGACGGUACCCUUGGAGGAAGCCCCGGCUAACUCCGUGCCAGCAGCCGCGGUAAGACGGGGGGGGCGAGCGUUGUUCGGA
rnacentral:rRNA from 1 species